rnacentral:rRNA from 1 species
UGAAGACGACGACGUUGAUAGGCCGGGUGUGUAAGCGCAGCGAUGCGUUGAGCUAACCGGUACUAAUGAACCGUGAGGCUUAACCUUAC